rnacentral:rRNA from 1 species
GAUGAACGCUGGCGGCGUGCCUAACACAUGCAAGUGGAGCGACGAACCCGGACUUGUCCGGGGGCAAAGCCGCGAACGGGUGAGUAACACGUGGAUUAUCUGCCCCAAUGACCGGGACAACUCGAGGAAACUCGAGCUAAUACCGGAUGUGCUCUUCGGAGGAAAGGAAGCUUCGGCCUCCGCAUUGGGAUGAGUCCGCGGUGCAUUAGCUAGUUGGUGGGGUAAAAGCCUACCAAGGCGACGAUGCAUAGCUGGUCUGAGAGGACGAUCAGCCACACUGGAACUGAGACACGGUCCAGACUCCUACGGGAGGCAGCAGCGGGGAAUCUUGCGCAAUGCACGAAAGUGCGACGCAGCAACGCCGCGUGCGGGAAGAAGGUCUUCGGAUCGUAAACCGCUUUCAGUUGGGACGAGGGUUACACGGUGAAUAGCCGGCGUAACUGACGGUACCUUCAGAAGAAGCCCCGGCUAACUACGUGCCAGCCGCCGCGGUAA